UACGAAGGGUGCUAGCGUUGUUCGGAAUUACUGGGCGUAAAGCGCGCGUAGGCGGCGACGCAAGUCAGAGGUGAAAUCCCCAGGCUCAACCUGGGAAUUGCCUUUGAAACUGCGUUGCUUGAGUGUCGGAGGGGAUAGCGGAAUUCCUAAUGUAGAGGUGAAAUUCGUAGAUAUUAGGAGGAACACCGGUGGCGAAGGCGGCUAUCUGGACGACAACUGACGCUGAGGCGCGAAAGCGCGGGGAUCAAACAGG
rnacentral:rRNA from 1 species